CCUUCUUUUAUGAAAUGCAUUAUAUUCAUCUACUCACUUAUCCUGUAGAUCUUGCAUGCGCUUGAAAGCCAUGGGUGUAGCCACUCUCCUGUCAUCGUGGAAUGAUGAUGCUUCUGUUUCCAGAUUCUUCAGAUCUCGAUAAGUGAAUGCUGCUUCUCUCAUGGCAUCUGCUUUCUUCUCUGGCCAGUUAGGGAAGUGCUUGAGCACUGCCCUUUCGUCUACCAGGUUUUACCUUCAGCGGUCGGUGUUCUAUUCUACACCAACAAAGAGAUUCCUACCGUGAAGCUUGGUAGUAAGCUUUCUUCUGCCUCAAGUUGUGCAAAAGGGACUCAGAUGGAACUCCUUUACCAACCAGAGGACAUCUUUGGUUAAUAAUAAGACCAAGUGAAAACUUGAAAAGUAGAGGGAGAAAAGGAAACAAAAGGAAAGCCGGCCAAAAAAGUAAAGGAGAUCUGAAUGUGGUUAUCUUAUACACACACAGGUGUUACAAUCCUUGGAAAUGUAGCAGCAUAGCUCUUAUUGUAGCAACCGUAAGCCAUGUGGAAGUUCUUUCUACCUGUCUGAACAACUGGACAUAUGUUUAUGUCACCAAAUAUAGGCGGUAGCAGAACCCUGAAAACGACAUAUCAGUAGGUUUAGACAGAUGAGUCCCUAUGUAUCAAGAUUCUGAAAAUGUUAUCAAACAAAAGGAAGAAACUGUUAUUAAAGAUGAUAACACAGCAACAAGUACACUGAGAAUAGGAAGCCAGAUGUAGCCGAAGAAACUGACUACCGGGUCAGUCUUGUAAUGAAGCUUGAUGUAUUUUCUCCCUUUUUCAGCACUUGAUUUAUGAAAAUACUAAAUAUCUGAAGUGUGGUAACUUGAGCUGUGAAAGAUACUUCAUCAAGAUCUGUGAAUGGAGAGCCCCGAUUGCAUGUAACAGUUCGCAUAAUGUUG